AACGUAGGUGGCAAGCGUUAUCCGGAAUUACUGGGCGUAAAGGGCGCGUAGGCGGUGUGUCAAGUCAGGCGUGAAAGCCCCGGGCUCAACCUGGGAACCGCGCUUGAGACUGGCACGCUCGAGUUCGGGAGAGGAUGGUGGAAUUCCCAGUGUAGAGGUGAAAUUCGUAGAUAUUGGGAAGAACACCGAUGGCGAAGGCAGCCAUCUGGACCGACACUGACGCUGAGGCGCGAAAGCGUGGGGAGCAAACAGG
rnacentral:rRNA from 1 species